rnacentral:rRNA from 1 species
AGUGAACGCUGGCGGUAGGCCUAACACAUGCAAGUCGAACGGCAGCACAGUAAGAGCUUGCUCUUACGGGUGGCGAGUGGCGGACGGGUGAGGAAUACAUCGGAAUCUACUUUUUCGUGGGGGAUAACGUAGGGAAACUUACGCUAAUACCGCAUACGACCUACGGGUGAAAGCAGGGGAUCUUCGGACCUUGCGCGAUUGAAUGAGCCGAUGUCGGAUUAGCUGGUUGGCGGGGUAAAGGCCCACCAGGGCGACGAUCCGUAGCUGGUCUGAGAGGAUGGUCAGCCGCACGGGAACUGAGACACGGUCCAGACUCCUACGGGAGGCAGCAGUGGGGAAUAUUGGACAAUGGGCGCAAGCCUGAUCCAGCGAUACCGCGUGGGUGACGAAGGCCUUCGGGUUGUAAAGCCCUUUUGUUGGGAGAGAAAAGCAGCAGGUUAAUACCCCGCUGGUCUGACGGUACCCAAUGAAUAAGCACCGGCUAACUUCGUG